rnacentral:tRNA from 2 species
GUUUAAUUAGUUUAUGAAAAAUAUUAAUUUGUGGAAUUAAAGAAAGAUUUCUAUUAAAUA